UCUGGAAGGCUCUGGGGGGGUUUGGGGGUCCCUAGGGGGUGUCCAAGCCCCCCCAGACCCCUCUGUGCCCCUCAGAGUCGCAGCUGAGGGUGUGGAUGAGCAAAUACGGAUGGACAGAGCCAGAGCCAGGGCGGAUCCUCAUCUCCAACCAGGAGGAGAACAUCAAACCCAAGAACAUCGUGGAGAAAAUCGACUUUGACAGUGGGUGUGUCCAGCAUCAUGGCGUCCUCUCUCUGAGCCCCUCAAAAGCGAGCCCUCAACACCGACCCCCCAAUUCCAGCCCCCCAACCCCGAUCCUGCCCAGUUUAACCAGUAAAGAGGCUUCAAAGUGGAACUGGGCUCGUUCUUGGAGCCGUCAAAAUGGAGGGGGGGGCUCUGAGGGGAGGUGGGCGUGGCUUCGAGUGGGCGUGGCUUGAGUGCGCCGGGCGUGGUUUAACGCUGUUAUGGGCGUGGUCUCGGCUCCGUGAGGGCGGUGGGUGUGGCGAUGGGCGUGGCCACUGUGGCGCCUGAGGGCGGUGGGCGUGGCUCCGCCCAGCCCCGUGCGCGCGCGGCGCGGUGGGCGCGGCCUGGGCGGCGGCGCGUGCGCAGUCGGGGCGCGGGUGGGGGGGGCAGAUUCGGGUCCGUGUCGCUGGCGCGUCCUCCGCCUGUCGCGACAUCAGGGCGGCGAUAAUGGUGGAUUACCACAGCACGGGGCAACCCCACCCGUACGGCGGGAACGGGCCCGGCCCCAAUGGAGACUACAUGGCCCAAGAGGACGAUUGGGAUCGGGAUCUACUCCUGGACCCCGCCUGGGAGAAGCAGCAGCGCAAGGUGGGGGGGAGCUGGGGGGGUCACUGAGGGCGGAUCGUGAGGGGCUGAGGGGUCCCUGAGGGGAUUUCACAGCCUGAGGGGUCUGGAGGGCUUGAGGGGUCUCUGAGGAGUCCCAGAGCGCGGGGCAGGGGGAGCUGGGGGGUGCCUGAGGGAUCCUGGAGUGUCUGAGGGGUCCCUGAGGGGAUCCGUGAGGGAUCUUGGGGUGUCUGAGGGGAUCCUGAGGUGUCUGAGGGGAUCCAUGAGGGAUUUCGGGGUAUCUGAGAGGUCCCUGAGGGGUCUUGGAGUGUCUGAGGGAUCCCUGAGGGGAUCCGUGAGGGAUCUUGGCGUGUCUGAGGGGAUCCAUGAGGGAUCCUGAGGUGUCUGAGGGGAUCCGUGAGGGAUCCGUGAGGGAUCUUGGUGUCCCUGAGGAGAUCCGUGAGGGAUCCUGAGGUGUCUGAGGGGAUCCAUGAGGGAUCCUGGGGUUCCUGAGGGGAUCCGUGAGGAAUUUCCGGGUGUCUCAGUGGUCCCUGAGGGGAUCCGU
rnacentral:lncRNA from 1 species